UACGGAGGGAGCUAGCGUUGUUCGGAAUUACUGGGCGUAAAGCGCACGUAGGCGGCUUUGUAAGUUAGAGGUGAAAGCCCAGGGCUUAACCCUGGAACUGCCUUUAAGACUGCAUCGCUUGAAUUGUGGAGAGGUAAGUGGAAUUCCGAGUGUAGAGGUGAAAUUCGUAGAUAUUCGGAAGAACACCAGUGGCGAAGGCGACUUACUGGACACAUAUUGACGCUGAGGUGCGAAAGCGUGGGGAGCAAACAGG
rnacentral:rRNA from 1 species